CUUCGUUCCUCUCCUCAGGUUAUCAGGGAUGUGCUGUCGGUGGGCCACCGGCCGGCGUGUGCAUGGGUGGACGAGCACUGCUCCAUGUCUUUAGAAGAUGCCAGCACAGCCACAUGCAAGUAGCCACAAGCCUGCAGUUCAGACACCAAGAGGUCCACCUUAAAACUCAAGAUCCCGCAUUCUCCACAACACACUCGUGGCUUCUGCAGGACAUUGUGCCAGAGAAAUUAGGUUGCACUAAGUGGUGACAUGAGGUCCAGAUUGAUUGUGGAGCCAUCUGUUCACCAUUCAUUGAACCGAUACUGCCAUCCAGUGGAAACAGGAUGAACUCGGGCCAGGCUUUGGAGUACCGCAGGCUCUGUUGCAUGGACUGUGGCUCAGAAUGAAGAAUGAAGAAGAAGCGCCUCCCAGCUUUGCGCUGCCAUCAUGGUCCUCCAAAGGCAAGCAGGAGCUCUUUUCCCAUGGACGUUCCUAGGGACCCUCACCCUCUUUCUCACCGGUAGACUUUCUGCACAACAAAAGAGCUGAAAGAGCCACAUUGUUGCGCGGUGCAUAAUGUAUGCAUUGUAUGGCAGCGUUCAAUAAGGUGAUGGAUUUGCAUCUGAUGUUCAGACGAAGGCGAAUUAAUACAGUCUUUUUUUCGCCCAAGGUGACUGCCCCAGAUUUUCAAAUGGGGGUCAAAUAUGAAAUUGGAAGUUUUGCGAGGAAGCGAUGGCGUAUUUGGCGUGCCGUCGAUGGCCAGCGGAGGUGGAAGUGGGCAAACAAAUUCUCAUUUAAUGUGUUCCUGCCAGGGCCAUUAAGGCAUUUGUUAGCUUUCACUGUGAACGAUAGUCUUGGAGAGAAGU